UCUCCACUUCUGUUCCUCCUUGCCCUGGUGCUGCUCCGGGUCACAUACUCGUCCUGAUCCGGCUUCAGCCUCUCUGCGCAGAAGUCUCCUGGAGCCCUGGCCGAGUACUCUUAUGUGAAGUCUACCAAGCUCGUGCUCAAGGGAACCAAGGCGAAGAGGCGAGAUGGAAAGAAAGUAUCAAGGAGUGAGCCGAAGCCACUGCACUUGAGAACCCUCUCGAGGAGUCUGGCCUCAUGAAGAUGCCAGAAUAAAUAUCAGGUAUAUCCUGAAUGAAUGUGAGAUUUUUACUCUGUGAAUUUCCUGUGAGGAGUGUAAGAAGAAAAAGAGCAAAGAUAAGAGAAAAAGAGAAGAAGAUGAAGAAAACCAACUUGAUAU